UUGCUUCGACAGCAAGUGUGCUAAAAUUAGAACUACAUAGGUAAAAUUAACAUGGCCCCUGCUUAUGAAUGACAUGCAAAUUGAGCAAAUGUUCCAUGUUAUU